AGCUCCACUAGCGUAUAUUAAAGUUGCUGCAGUUAAAAAGCUCGUAGUCGGAUCUCGGGAUCGUGUCGGCGUUCUCGUGGUUUCUCCUGCGGUUCUGCCGUUGGGAGUUUCCGCGGGUCGUCGGCCCUGGCGGCUAGGUCCCCACCUGAUGGUGGGGUUCCACCUGGCUCGUCCAGCCCGCCGUCGCGUUUGGGCGGGUGUCCUUAAUUGGAUGCCCGCUCUCGAACGUGGCCCGUUUACCUUGAACAAAUCGGAGUGCUCAAAGCAGGCUCUACGUCGCUCGAACGGUAGCGCAUGGAAUAAUGGAAGAGGACCGGCUUCCGCUUCUGUUGGUCUCACGGAGGCAGGUAAUGAUCAAGAGGGACGGACGGGGGCGGAGGUAUGGCUCGGCGAGAGGUGAAAUUCUUGGACCCUAGCCAGACCCUCGAGAGCGAAAGCAUCCGCCAAGGAUGUUUCCA
rnacentral:rRNA from 1 species